rnacentral:rRNA from 1 species
UACGUAGGGUGCGAGCGUUAAUCGGAAUUACUGGGCGUAAAGCGUGCGCAGGCGGUUCGUUGUGUCGGUGGUGAAAGCCCCGGGCUUAACCUGGGAAUGGCCAUGGAAACUGGCGAACUGGAGUGUGGCAGAGGGGGGUGGAAUUCCGCGUGUAGCAGUGAAAUGCGUAGAGAUGCGGAGGAACACCGAUGGCGAAGGCAGCCCCCUGGGCCAACACUGACGCUCAUGCACGAAAGCGUGGGGAGCAAACAGG